GGCUCAGAUUGAACGCUGGCGGCAUGCUUUACACAUGCAAGUCGAACGGCAGCGGGUCCUUCGGGAUGCCGGCGAGUGGCGAACGGGUGAGUAAUGCAUCGGAACGUACCUGGUCGUGGGGGAUAACACAGCGAAAGUUGUGCUAAUACCGCAUGAGACCUGAGGGUGAAAGCGGGGGCUCGCAAGACCUCGCGCGACUGGAGCGGCCGAUGUCAGAUUAGCUAGUUGGUAGGGUAAAGGCCUACCAAGGCGACGAUCUGUAGCGGGUCUGAGAGGAUGAUCCGCCACACUGGGACUGAGACACGGCCCAGACUCCUACGGGAGGCAGCAGUGGGGAAUUUUGGACAAUGGGCGCAAGCCUGAUCCAGCCAUGCCGCGUGAGUGAAGAAGGCCUUCGGGUUGUAAAGCUCUUUCAGCCGGGAAGAAAUCGCACGGGCCAAUACCCUGUGCGGAUGACGGUACCGGAACAAGAAGCACCGGCUAACUACGUGCCAGCAGCCGCGGUAAUACGUAGGGUGCGAGCGUUAAUCGGAAUUACUGGGCGUAAAGCGUGCGCAGGCGGAUGCUUAAGUCAGAUGUGAAAUCCCCGGAGCUUAACUUGGGAAUUGCAUUUGAAACUGGGUAUC
rnacentral:rRNA from 1 species